rnacentral:rRNA from 1 species
CCUACGGGGGGCAGCAGUGAGGAAUAUUGGUCAAUGGACGAGAGUCUGAACCAGCCAAGUAGCGUGAAGGAUGACUGCCCUAUGGGUUGUAAACUUCUUUUAUAUGGGAAUAAAACGUUCCACGUGUGGGAUUUUGUAUGUACCAUAUGAAUAAGGAUCGGCUAACUCCGUGCCAGCAGCCGCGGUAAUACGGAGGAUCCGAGCGUUAUCCGGAUUUAUUGGGUUUAAAGGGAGCGUAGGUGGGUUGUUAAGUCAGUUGUGAAAGUUUGCGGCUCAACCGUAAAAUUGCAGUUGAUACUGGCAGUCUUGAGUACAGUAGAGGUAGGCGGAAUUCGUGGUGUAGCGGUGAAAUGCUUAGAUAUCACGAAGAACUCCGAUUGCGAAGGCAGUUCACUAGACUGCAACUGACACUGAGGCUCGAAAGUGUGGGUAUCAAACAGGAUUAGAUACCCGAGUAGUC